rnacentral:rRNA from 1 species
GUCAAAAAAAAGAAGGCUCACGACGGAGACCUAGGCUCUCAGAGACGAUGAAAGGCGCGAUACCAGCGAUAUGCUUUGGGGAGUAGGAAGAAUGCAUUGAUCCAAAGAUUCCUGAAUAGGGCAACCUGUCCGACUAUCUAUGAAUUCAUAAAUAGAUUAGAGGCAACCUGGUGAACUGAAACAUCUCAGUAGCCAGAGGAAAAGAAAGCAAAAGCGAUUCCCGUAGUAGCGGCGAGCGAACUGGGACCAGCCUAAACCAAUUUUAUUGGGGUUGUGGGAAGACAAAAAAAAGGAAGAGAAAAAAAAAGACGAAGCAGCUGAAUCCUGCACCAUAGAUGGUGAAAGUCCAGUAGUCAUAUUCAAUUUCUCUAUUAUUCUCAAUAUAUUGAGUAUAUUAUAUUGAGUAUAUUAUAUUGAGAAUUCAUUUGAAAUUUAAAAUUUAUUUAAUGUCUAUCCCGAGUAGCAUGGGGCACGUGGAAUCCCGUGUGAAUCUGCGAGGACCACCUCGUAAGGCUAAACACUCCUGAGAGACCGAUAGCGAAAUAGUACAGCGAUGGAAAGGUGAAAAGAACCCCCGUCGGGGAGUGAAAUAGAACAUGAAAUCGUGAGCUGACAAGCAGUGGGAGGAUUCUCGCUCGCUUUGCGAGAAAAAAAUCUGACCUCGUGCCUGUUGAAGAAUGAGCCGGCGACUUAUAGGAAGUGGCAGGUUAAAGAGUAAGAUCUGGAGCCUAAGCGAAAGCGAGUCUGAAUAGGGCGAAAGUCACUUCUUAUGGACCCGAACCUGGAUGAUCUAACCAUGAGCAAGCUGAAGCUUAGGUAACACUGUGUGGAGGGCUGAACGGACCGAUGUUGAAAAAUCGGCCGAUGACUUGUGGUUAGCGGAGAAAUUCCAAUCGAAUUCAGAGCUAGCUGGUUCUCCCCGAAAUGCGUUGAGGCGCAGCGGUAAUGAUGGGCAAUCUAAGGGUAGAGCGACUGUUUCGGUGCGGGCUGCGAAAGCGGUACCAAGUCGUGGCAAACUCCGAAUAUUAGAUUUGCUUUCCAUGUGCCAGUGAGACAGUGGGAGAUAAGUUUCAUUGUCAAGAGGGAAACAGCCCAGAUCAUCAGCUAAGGCCCCUAAAUGACUCCUAAGUGGAAAAGGAUGUGAAGAUGCUGAAACAACCAGGAAAUUCGCUUAGAAGCAGCUAUUUUUUAAAGAGUGCGUAAUAGCUCACUGGUAAAGCGUUUUUGCGCCGACAAUGGCCGGGACUAAGGAGUCUGCCGAAGCUAUGAGAUUUUUUGUUUCUUUUAAUUCUUUCGUUUCCUUCUGAAGAAGAAGCAUGUGAAUAAAAGAAUAAAAAUCGGUAGGGGAGCGUUCAGCAUUGGGUGAAGCUUUGACGUAAGUUUGAGUGGACGGUGCUGAAGUGAGAAUGUCGGCUUGAGUAACGAAAACAUUGGUGAGAAUCCAAUGCCCCGAAAACCUAAGGGUUCCUUUACAAGGUUCGUCCAUGAAGGGUGAGUCAGGACCUAAGGCGAGGCCGACAGGCGUAGUCGAUGGCAAACAGGUUGAUAUUCCUGUACUUUUUUGAAAGGGAACCGAGGGACGAAGUCGGCUAAAUUGAGUCUGUGAAUGGAAUGCAGUGGAAAUGUCCAAGGUUAAACAGAUCGAAGAAAAACGAAUCUGUAGCUAAGGCAUGAUCCCACUCUCCUGAACUUGUUUGGGCAGAGUGUCAAUGAUGUCAUGCUUCCAAGAAAAGCUCGUACACCAUCUUAUCGCUUCGCCUCGGCGAAGCCGAAGCGAAGUGUAAGUUUAAACUUUCAAAAAACCUGUACCUGAAACCGACACAGGUAGGUUGGUAGAGAAUACUAAGGGGCGCAAGAGAACUCUCUCUAAGGAACUCGGCAAAUUGGCCCCGUAACUUCGGGAGAAGGGGCGCCUUUGACUUCGUCAAGGGCCACAGUAUAAAGAUUCUGGCAACUGUUUACCAAAAACACAGGUCUCCGCAAAGUCGUAAGACAAUAUAUGGGGGCUGACGCCUGCCCAGUGCCGGAAGGUGAAGGAAGUUGGUUAUUUAGGCCUUGCGCCUGGAGAAGCUGACAACCGAAGCCCCGGUGAACGGCAGCUGUAACUAUGACAGUUCUAAGGUAGCGAAAUUCAUUGUCGAGUAAGUUUCGACCUGCACGAAAGGCGUAAUGAUCAGAAUACUGUCUCAGAGAGAGACUUGGUGAAAUAGACUUAUCCGUGAAGAUGCGGAUUAACAACAUUUGGACAGAAAGACCCUAUGAAGCUUGACUGUAUCCUGGAAUUGGGUUCGGGCUUUUCUUGCGCAGUCUAGGUGGGAGGCAUUGAAGAUUUCUUUCCGGAGAGAUUGGAGCCAUCAGUGAGAGACCACUCUGGAAAGGCUAGAAUCCUAAGAGUGAUCCCUAAUCGGGACAUUUGACGUUUUCAGGAGGGCAGUUUUUUUGGGGCGAAAGUCCUCCUAAAAGGUAACGGAGGCGCGCAAAGGUUUCCUCAGUCUGGACGGAAAUCAGACGUUAUAGAGUGUAAAGGCAAAAGGAAGCUUGACUGCAAGACCUACAAGUCGAGCAGGGGCGAAAGCCGGCCUUAGUGAUCCGACGGUGUCCGUGUGGAAGGGCCGUCGCUCAACGGAUAAAAGUUACUCUAGGGAUAACAGGCUGAUCUUCUCCAAGAGUUCACAUCGACGAGAAGGUUUGGCACCUCGAUGUCGGCUCAUCACAUCCUGGGGCUGUAGUAGGUCCCAAGGGUUGGGCUGUUCGCCCAUUAAAGUGGUACGUGAGCUGGGUUCAAAACGUCGUAAGACAGUUUGGUCCAUAUCCGAUGUUGUCGCUAGAGCGCUGAGGGGAUCCUUAAAUAGUACGAGAGGAUUUUUAAGGUCGUGCCUAUGGUGUAUCAGUUCUCUCUCCAGAGGGAAACGCUGAGUAGCUACGCACGGUUUAGAUAACCGCUGAAAGCAUCUAAGUGGGAAGCUUUCCUCAAGAUGAGCGCUCUCCAUUAUGCCACAGCUAGACAAGCUGAUGAUAGGUAUCAGGUGAAAGGUCUGCAAGGAUUUGAGCCGAGAUAUACUAAAGGCCAAUUGAUUUUGACCA